CCUACGGGGCGCUGCAGUGAGGAAUAUUGGUCAAUGGACGCAAGUCUGAACCAGCCAUGCCGCGUGCAGGAAGACGGCUCUAUGAGUUGUAAACUGCUUUUGUACGAGGGUAAACGCAGAUACGCGUAUCUGUCUGAAAGUAUCGUACGAAUAAGGAUCGGCUAACUCCGUGCCAGCAGCCGCGGUAAUACGGAGGAUUCAAGCGUUAUCCGGAUUUAUUGGGUUUAAAGGGUGCGUAGGCGGUCGGAUAAGUUAGCGGUGAAAUCCCGAGGCUCAACUUCGGAAUUGCCUCUGAUACGGUUCGGAUAGAGAGUAGUUGAGGUAGGCGGAAUGUAUGGUGUAGCGGUGAAAUGCGGAGAGAUCGUACAGAACACCGAUUGCGAAGGCAGCUUACCAAGCUACUUGUGACGUUGAGGCACGAAAGCGUGGGGAGCAAACAGGAGUAGAGACCCGUGUAGUC
rnacentral:rRNA from 1 species